UANNAAUCUUCGGCAAUGGACGGAAGUCUGACCGAGCAACGCCGCGUGAGUGAAGAAGGUUUUCGGAUCGUAAAGCUCUGUUGUAAGAGAAGAACGAGUGUGAGAGUGGAAAGUUCACACUGUGACGGUAUCUUACCAGAAAGGGACGGCUAACUACGUGCCAGCAGCCGCGGUAAUACGUAGGUCCCGAGCGUUAUCCGGAUUUAUUGGGCGUAAAGCGAGCGCAGGCGGUUAGAUAAGUCUGAAGUUAAAGGCUGUGGCUUAACCAUAGUACGCUUUGGAAACUGUUUAACUUGAGUGCAGAAGGGGAGAGUGGAAUUCCAUGUGUAGCGGUGAAAUGCGUAGAUAUAUGGAGGAACACCGGUGGCGAAAGCGGCUCUCUGGUCUGUAACUGACGCUGAGGCUCGAAAGCGUGGGGAGCAAACAGGAUUAGAUACCCUGGUAGUCCACGCCGUAAACGAUGAGUGCUAGGUGUUGGGUCCUUUCCGGGACUCAGUGCCGCAGCUAACGCAUUAAGCACUCCGCCUGGGGAGUACGACCGCAAGGUUG
rnacentral:rRNA from 1 species